UCCGCGGCUGGGCGCCAGGGCAGUUGGGAAUCAAACGAAGAGGUCAAGGGGAACCACAACGGUGAGACGCGACGCUAAGGAGUAAGACGGCCGGAUCUGGAGCUUAAGGCCCUUCACCGCGCUUGUGUUCGUCAGAUUGCAAGGUCAGUCUACUCUGACCAAUCUCGCCCAAUUAUCUGUACUCCCUCAAUUAUCUGCCAAGUACUCCUGUUGAAAUGAGGAAUCAUCUUGAUCCUACAGAUUACCAUCCUCUCGAUUGUGGCCUGGCGGAAAUCAUCUGGAUCCGGCUAGUUUGUACUUAGGCACUAGUGUUGCUCUGCUCUUUUUCCUUGUGAUGCUUGAGUACUGAAGAAAUUGUUUGGAUAAUAUGCACUUUUCUUUUGCUUAUGCUCUUCUGAGAUUGGCUAGUUACUGUUUGGGGAGUAGAUGUAGUGUGUCGUAAUUUGCAAGUGAAUCACUGUGUAUAUCAGUGCUAAAUACAGUUACAAGCACAAUCCUACUAAUGCUUGUACACUGAAACAAUUGGUCAUCUCAAGGUCAAAUAUCAAGAAGAGCUUCUUGUCAUUAGUCAAAAUUUUCAUCAUCUCAAGGUCAAAUUUUAGAGUACUUGGUCUGACAUUUACUUUGUCU
rnacentral:lncRNA from 1 species